rnacentral:rRNA from 1 species
GGCUCCAGCUAACUCCCAACCCCUGUGACAUACCACUUGUUGCCUCGGCGGAUCAGCCCGCUCCCGGUAAAACGGGACGGCCCGCCAGAGGACCCCUAAACUCUGUUUCUAUAUGUAACUUCUGAGUAAAACCAUAAAUAAAUCAAAACUUUCAACAACGGAUCUCUUGGUUCUGGCAUCGAUGAAGAACGCAGCAAAAUGCGAUAAGUAAUGUGAAUUGCAGAAUUCAGUGAAUCAUCGAAUCUUUGAACGCACAUUGCGCCCGCCAGUAUUCUGGCGGGCAUGCCUGUUCGAGCGUCAUUUCAACCCUCAAGCACAGCUUGGUGUUGGGACUCGCGUUAAUUCGCGUUCCUCAAAUUGAUUGGCGGUCACGUCGAGCUUCCAUAGCGUAGUAGUAAAACCCUCGUUACUGGUAAUCGUCGCGGCCACGCCGUUAAACCCCAACUUCUGAAUGUUGACCUCGGAUCAGGUAGGAAUACCCGCUGAACUUAAGCAUAUCAAAAAUGGGGGGAUAAUUAU